GCUGUAGCUCAGUGGCAGAGCAUCUGUCUUGCAUGCAGAAGGUUCCAGGUUCAAUCCCUGGCAUCUCCU